rnacentral:rRNA from 1 species
CAUGCAAGUCGAACGAGCUCUUAGGAGCUAGUGGCGGACGGGUGAGUAACACGUGAGAAUCUGCCUCAAGGUCGGGGACAACAGUUGGAAACGACUGCUAAUACCCGAUAUGCCUAAGGGUGAAAGAUUUAUUGCCUAGAGAAGAGCUCGCGUCCGAUUAGCUAGUUGGUAGAGUAAAAGCCUACCAAGGCGACGAUCGGUAGCUGGUCUGAGAGGAUGAGCAGCCACACUGGGACUGAGACACGGCCCAGACUCCUACGGGAGGCAGCAGUGGGGAAUUUUCCGCAAUGGGCGAAAGCCUGACGGAGCAAUACCGCGUGAGGGAGGAAGGCUUUUGGGUUGUAAACCUCUUUUGUCAGGGAAGAAAAUUUGACGGUACCUGAAGAAAAAGCAUCGGCUAACUCCGUGCCAGCAGCCGCGGUAAUACGGAGGAUGCAAGCGUUAUCCGGAAUAAUUGGGCGUAAAGGGUCCGCAGGUGGCCAUUCAAGUCUGCUGUCAAAGACCGUGGCUCAACCACGGAAAGGCAGUGGAAACUGUUUAGCUAGAGUACGGUAGGGGUAGAGGGAACUCCCAGUGUAGCGGUGAAAUGCGUAGAUAUUGGGAAGAACACCGGUGGCGAAAGCGCUCUACUGGGCCGAAACCGACA